CAGUAGCCACGGGAAUACGUAGGUGGCGAGCGUUGUCCGGAAUCAUUGGGCGUAAAGGGAGCGCAGGCGGGCAUGUAAGUCUUUCUUAAAAGUUCGGGGCUCAACCCCGUGAUGGGAAAGAAACUACAUGUCUUGAGUACAGGAGAGGAAAGCGGAAUUCCCAGUGUAGCGGUGAAAUGCGUAGAUAUUGGGAGGAACACCAGUGGCGAAGGCGGCUUUCUGGACUGCAACUGACGCUGAGGCUCGAAAGCCAGGGGAGCGAACGGGAUUAGAUACCCCCGUAGUCCCUGUCUCUUAUACA
rnacentral:rRNA from 1 species